rnacentral:lncRNA from 1 species
UGCCUUUGGCGCCGGCCUUCCUCGCGACGCAAUAGAGCAAGAACAAGGGCGGGCCUAUUCGGCGCCGAACCAGAUGGAGACGAACUGCACAAAUCCGGCUGCCCAUUUGUCAAAAAAUAUGCUGGAUGGCGCCUCAUUCACGUCAUCAUUCGUGCUAUGAACACUCGCACUAGGUUCUGAAACCAACAAAGAGGUUAUUUCAUGCCACCACAUUCUAAUGAUUUAUGAGAACUAUUGUUAGUUUUCCUACUUUUGUAACACUAAUAAUUUACAUAUACAUGAUUUGCAGCUCACACUUCUGUAACAAUAAACAUUUAUGUAUAUAUAAUUUGCUUUUCUGAAAGUUGAUUACAUUUUUUUCCUGAUCACAUUAAAACAAGAAAAACAACACUUCUAUGCAAAUAUGUUCUUCAGAUCUCUUAGUUUGAGCUCCUGAUUUCUUUCUCUCUAAUUUAUUUCUAUCUCGCAGACAGGGCUUCCUUACCCCUACGAUGCAUGCCACGACGCCUGAACUAUUAUUUUCUCGGCUUGUGUUGUGUUUAAGUGGUGAAGUGAUCGCCGCACAGGGGGGUGGAGGGGAGGGGGUUCUUCUGUCCUGGGUUGCUUGCUGUUUCUUGGCCUCUCAGACGAGCAGGUUGUCUAGGAUUGGGACACCCUCAGAGUUGUUGGGUGUGAAUUUAGGGGUCAAUAGCUCUUGUGCUACAUCUUUCGUGGGAAUUAGAUGGAGUGAGACGUUGUUCGACAGAAUGGCUUGGGGGCGACACUUUUGAGCGAGUAAAUAGCCCACACACGACAUGACCCUUAAACUGAACUGAUGCCCUCAUUAGCUGUUAUGGGCUAGACCCACAACUUAUCCACGUAAGCGCGGGACCCACCACUUGUCCAGUAAGCGCGGGUCCACCUCUUCGCAGCUAGAAGAGAUUUCGCCCGUGCCCGUCCGCCCGCCGCCGCCCAUUGCUUUGCCCCUUUCCCCAUUCUUCCUCUUCUCCGGUGGACCCUCUCCGGCGACCUAGUGCAGAUGUCCACCUCCUCCGCCACGCAAUCAAAAUGGCGUCAGUAUGGUCCAGUGCCGCUCACAAGGUGCCCUGACUGCCCACGCCCAGAGUCUCUAAAACGGUGGGUCGGUAGGACUGAUGAGAAUGGAAAUUUUGGGCGGGAAAUUGUGAAGUGCUUGAGCAAAACAAUGGCAGGAAGGGAUGGCAAGGCUAGAUCUCAGUUCUUAGCCCGUUCUUUCACUACCAUUUGCUCUGGUUUCUCCAUAUUUUGUUUUUUCCCCUCGAAUUUUGAAUUUAGGGUUCAUGUUGUUGUUUUCAGAUCCUGAAGAAAUGCACACAUUUCAAGUGGAUGGAUGGUUAUGUUGAGAGGAUUCAGUUCAAGGGCUAUAUUGAUUCAAGCGGGGCCGCAACCUGGGAGCUCAGUUUGGGCAGGGUGCCGCAGAUGGAGAAUUUGGGGAGCUCGGACAGAGGGGCGGGCAGAGUCGUGCCGAUGGCGAGGUAUGCGUGCAAUGCUGAACCGCACUUGGAGUCUGAACUGACGAGGAACUGAAGAAGAUCAAGAAAAAUCAAAUGGAGAUGAUCGAUUUGCAGAAGCAAGCAAAUAUCAUAGCAGGGGGGUUUAUUAUUGUGUCAUUGCUGUGUUUAUGUUUUACUUGCUAUUCAUCCAUCAUUAGAGGGGGCAUUUAGGUAUGUCAGGGUAUAGGAUGCGAUAUGUGCGCCAUGUCAAGUUCUUGUAUCUGAAUCGAAGCAGAAAUAUUCAGUGUUCAUGCUCUGUUCUUGUUCUUUAGUUAAUAGAGUGCACACCCCCCAAAUU